rnacentral:rRNA from 1 species
GCUGGCGGCGUGCCUAACACAUGCAAGUCGAGCGGAGUUAACAAGAGGAAGUUUCGGAUGGAAUUUUGUUAAUUUAGCGGCGGACGGGUGAGUAACGCGUGAGCGACCAACCUUGCACAGGGGGAUAACGGACCGAAAGGUUCACUAAUACCGCAUGAGACCACGGUGUUGCAUGACACAGAGGUCAAAGGAGCAAUCCGGUGCAAGACGGGCUCGCGUCCGAUUAGGUAGUUGGUGGGGUAAUGGCCCACCAAGCCUAUGAUCGGUAGCCGACCUGAGAGGGUGAUCGGCCACAUUGGAACUGAGAUACGGUCCAAACUCCUACGGGAGGCAGCAGUGGGGAAUAUUGGGCAAUGGGGGGAAACCCUGACCCAGCAACGCCGCGUGAAGGAAGAAGGUUUUCGGAUUGUAAACUUCUGUCCUUGGUGAAGAGAAGAAGACGGUAGCCAAGGAGGAAGCCCCGGCUAACUACGUGCCAGCCGCCGC